GGUUGAGACUUCACCCUCCAUCCUUCAGGGGUGGGCAGCCUCACAGGUGACAGCUUAUAACUCAGCCUGGGUGUAAUACAAGAGAUGCUGGAGGACCACCCUUGCUCCCUCCCUACGCCUUUCAACAGAAGGCACCGCUCUCACUUGGCUGCCUGAAGUGACUCAUUCCUUGGAGUAUCCCCAGUGGCAGGCACAAAGAUGAUGUGGAUCUGGAUGUGUCAAAGCUACUGUGUCAUCAGGCCUCCGUAGAGCUGGAACUCAGGACUGUCAGGAGGAUUCCCUGUGAGCUGGGGCUGUAGCUCUUCUGGGAAGAGAGCUUGCCUGGCAUGCAUAAAGCCAUGGGGUUUAAUUCAUAACCCUCCAAAAACUGGGCACUCAGUGGUAGUCACCCGUAAUCCCAGCACAGCACGUGGGAGGAGCAAAUGGGAGGAGCCCCAGCUCAGGGUCAUCCUCCACUACCUUAUGAGUGUGAGGCUGGCUGGGGCUAGCCUCAGAAAAAAUGCUAACAACAGAUGCUCGCUCGCUCCCGGAACUGACACACUGAGACCCAGAGAACAAACUUCUGUAAGUUGCCCUCUGACUUCCACAUACACAUCAUACAUGUCACAGACACACAUACACACACACACACACACACACACACCAAACACACACACACACUAUUCAUAUGCACAUACACACACCCCACACUCACACACACACACACACACACACACACACACACACACACACUACUCAUAUACACGUACACACACCCACACUCUCACACACACUCACACACACAUCCACACACUCACACUACUCAUAUACACAUACACACACCCCACACUCACACACACUCACACACACACACACACACACACACACACACACACACUACUCAUAUACACAUACACACAGCCCACACCCACACACACAUACACACACACCAAACACACACACACACUACUCAUAUAUACAUAUACACACCCCACACUCACACACACAUACACACACACCAAACUCACACACAAAUAUACUCAACAUUCACAUACACAUACUCCUCACACUCCUCUCUCUCUCUCACACACACACACUACUCAUAUACACAUACACACACCCCACACUCACACACACAUACACACACACCAAACACACACACACACUACUCAUAUAUACAUAUACACACCCCACACUCACACACACAUACACACACACCAAACUCACACACAAAUAUACUCAACAUUCACAUACACAUACUCCUCACACUCCUCUCUCUCUCACACACACACACACUACUCAUAUACACAUACACACACCCCACACUCACAUACACAUCCACACACUCACACUACUCAUAUACACAUACACACACCCCACACUCACACACACACACACUCACACACACACACACUACUCAUAUACACAUACACACAGCCCACACCCACACACACAUACACACACACCAAACUCACACACAAAUAUACUCAACAUUCACAUACACAUACUCCUCACACUCCUCUCUCUCUCUCUCUCUCUCUCUCUCUCUCUCUCUCUCUCUCUCUCUCAAACACACACUACUCAUAUACACAUACACACACCCCACACUCACACACACAUACACACACACCAAACUCACACACAAAUAUACUCAACAUUCACAUACACAUACUCCUCCCACUCCUCUCUCUCUCUCACACACACACUACUCAUAUACACAUACACACACCCCACACUCACACACACAUACACACACACCAAACACACACACACACUACUCAUAUAUACAUAUACACACCCCACACUCACACACACAUACACACACACCAAACUCACACACAAAUAUACUCAACAUUCACAUACACAUACUCCUCA
rnacentral:lncRNA from 1 species